UCAAGGGAACCCAAAACUCAAGUCGGUGUUGCCUUGUUCCCUUUCCCUAGCCGCUUCCUUCACACUUACCUCAGUGAAUCCCUGGAAAAAUGCGCAGUGCAGCUUGAGACCUGCGGCCGUCUACUCCAGGACGACUUCUAUGUUGCCGUUGCACACUUCAUGAAUAUCAUUUGUCUCGUCUGGCCGUCCGGAAUCGAUGUGUGCAGGUACAUGCAGACACCUGAAAUGUACAGACUUCCCAAUCACUGUGGCGAGGUGGCGAUAUUUCUCAUGAUCUUCUGCCCUGCCAGCAGCACCUUCCACAACGGCAAGCCCUUUGUCGUCGUCUAAUUCAGCUUGGGUGCAACACAAUGUUCAUGGCCACCUUCCUUGGUCCCGUCCCUCGGCCUUCCCAGCCCUGUCACCACAGCCCUGCUCUGCUUCCUGCAACAUACGGGACUUGCGUACGCCCUCUGACCGGGCUUUCUCGCACCAUGUCGUGCCUGUGCCGUACCGACCGUUUUCACCGACCGUGCUGUUUUUUUUUAAAUAUUUUUCU